rnacentral:rRNA from 1 species
AGUGAACGCUGGCGGUAUGCCUAACACAUGCAAGUCGAACGGCAGCACAGUAAGAGCUUUCUCUUAGGGGUGGCGAGUGGCGGACGGGUGAGGAAUACAUCGGAAUCUACUUUUUCGUGGGGGAUAACGUAGGGAAACUUACGCUAAUACCGCAUACGACCUACGGGUGAAAGCAUGGGAUCUUCGGACCUUGCGCGAUUGAAUGAGCCGAUGUCGGAUUAGCUAGUUGGCGGGGUAAAGGCCCACCAAGGCGACGAUCCGUAGCUGGUCUGAGAGGAUGAUCAGCCACACUGGAACUGAGACACGGUCCAGACUCCUACGGGAGGCAGCAGUGGGGAAUAUUGGACAAUGGGCGCAAGCCUGAUCCAGCCAUACCGCGUGGGUGAAGAAGGCCUUCGGGUUGUAAAGCCCUUUUGGUGGGAAAGAAAAGCAGCAGGUUAAUACCCCGCUGUUCUGACGGUACCCAAAGAAUAAGCACCGGCUAACUUCGUG